UACGUAGGGUGCAAGCGUUAAUCGGAAUUACUGGGCGUAAAGCGUGCGCAGGCGGUUUUGUAAGUUUGUCGUGAAAGCCCCGGGCUCAACCUGGGAAUUGCGAUGAAGACUGCAAGGCUUGAGUCUGGCAGAGGGGGGUAGAAUUCCACGUGUAGCAGUGAAAUGCGUAGAGAUGUGGAGGAACACCGAUGGCGAAGGCAGCCCCCUGGGUCAAGAUUGACGCUCAUGCACGAAAGCGUGGGGAGCAAACAGG
rnacentral:rRNA from 1 species